GCUAAUACCGCAUACGACUGAGGUAGAAGGGGGGGAUCGCAAGACCUCUCGCUAUUGGAGCGGCCGAUAUCAGAUUAGCUAGUUGGUGGGGUAAAGGCCUACCAAGGCAACGAUCUGUAGUUGGUCUGAGAGGACGACCAGCCACACUGGGACUGAGACACGGCCCAGACUCCUACGGGAGGCAGCAGUGGGGAAUAUUGGACAAUGGGGGCAACCCUGAUCCAGCCAUGCCGCGUGUGUGAAGAAGGCCUUCGGGUUGUAAAGCACUUUAAGCGGGGAGGAAGGCCUGAUGGAUAAUACCCAUUGGGAUUGACGUUACCCGCAGAAUAAGCACCGGCAAACUUCGUG
rnacentral:rRNA from 1 species